GGCUGCAGCAAAAUAACCAGGGUGGGGGUGACGAAUAACUUGUGUAGAUUGAUACAGCAGGAAUGGAAGCCAUUUAUUGCAGGACAGGAGCAGUAUUUAUACAUUCCACACAGCUUAUCUAAUUAGCAUAAACUAGAUACAUCAGUCAACCAAUCAGGAAUCUCCACACUUAAUGGCUUGCUUUUGUUACUUUUCCCCUGGCAAAAUGCCAGGUGUUAUUUUGACUUGUUCACAAACUCUAACACCUCUUGAUUUUCUUCUUCAUUCCCCACUAACCAGAACAAUUUCUUGAUUAUCCUUAAGAAAUUUUCUGGUCAUAGUGAAGCAUAUAUAUAAUAUAUACCUCCUUUCAUAUGUGAACCACAAUGCACAUUCUAUUCUAUAUCCCAUUUUUUGCCACUUAAUACCAUAUUUAGUUGGAGUAUUCCUAAUUUGAAAAUCAGAAAUGAUCAAAAAUCUGAAACUGUGAGCACUAGGACAUGAUGCCACAAGUGGAAAACUCUAUACCAUGCAUUUUCAUUCCAUGCACAAAAUUAUUAAAAAUAUUGUGUAAAAUUAUCUUCAAGCUCUAAUUAUAAGGUAUAUAUGACAAAAAUGAACAUUGUGUUUAGACUUGAGUUCUAUCCCCAAGAUUGAACAUUGUGUUUAGACUUGAGAUAGACAAGACUUGAGAUAGACAAGAUAUCUAAUUAUGUAUAUGCAAAUAAUCCAAAAUUCAAAACCAUUCAAAAUCUGACACAUUUCUGAUGUUAGGCAUUUUUGGAUAAGGGAUACUUAACCUGUAUUAGACAUUUUCAAUAUGCAUAAGUAUAAAAAUACCUCUAUUUCAAAUGUGUGUGUGUGUGUGUGUGUGUGUGUGUGUGUAGUGUCCUUGUAUGAUCCUGUCUGUGGUAUAAACAAUAUGGAAUUUUGGGGGCCAUAUUAUUAUGAAUCGUAUAACAUGCUAAAAAAAUCACCUAUUAUUCUUAAAAUUAAAAGGGCUGGGGAUGUAGCUCAGUGGUAGAAUGUUUGUGUAGCAUGCCCAAGGACUUGGGUUUAAUUUCCCAGUACUGCAAUAAUAAAUAAAAAGAAGAAGAGAAGAAAAAGAAUACACAUGGUGCCCUCAUGCCAUUAUCCUUCUUUUUCAGCCUUGGUGAAGAAUAUUGGGUGCUGAGGUUACUCAAAAAAUAGAAUGUCUUUUGUGUACCUCUAUUAGCCAGUUAGCCAAGAAACUUUGCAGAGCUGUGACUGGGCAAAUUAAUUUCCAUGUGCUUUAGUUCACUCACUUUAAAAUUAGGGACAAUGAUAGUAUCUCCUUAUGAGAGUCGUUAUAAGAAUAAAAUGAGUUAAAUAAUGAGGAAAAAUGGGUUAUAUAUGUAAAGCAAUUGGAGAAAUGCUUGAUGAAUAGUGCUGUGUAUUGAUAUUGCUA
rnacentral:lncRNA from 1 species